GCCUUUUUAGCUCAGGUGGUAGAGCGUUCCACUCGUACAAAACUGAUGUAUGGAAAGGUCGCUAGUUCGAAUCUGGUAGGAGGCA
rnacentral:tRNA from 1 species